rnacentral:rRNA from 1 species
AUUGAACGCUGGCGGAAUGCUUUACACAUGCAAGUCGAACGGCAGCACGGACUUCGGUCUGGUGGCGAGUGGCGAACGGGUGAGUAAUACAUCGGAACGUGCCCAGUCGUGGGGGAUAACGUAGCGAAAGCUACGCUAAUACCGCAUACGAUCUAAGGAUGAAUGCGGGGGAUCGCAAGACCUCGCUCGAUUUGAGCGGCCGAUGGUAGAUUAGGUAGUUGGUAGGGUAAAGGCCUACCAAGCCGACGAUCUGUAGCUGGUCUGAGAGGAUGAUCAGCCACACUGGGACUGAGACACGGCCCAGACUCCUACGGGAGGCAGCAGUGGGGAAUUUUGGACAAUGGGCGCAAGCCUGAUCCAGCCAUUCCGCGUGCAGGAUGAAGGCCUUCGGGUUGUAAACUGCUUUUGUACAGAACGAAAAGGCUCUGGUUAAUACCCGGGGCUCAUGACGGUACUGUAAGAAUAAGCACCGGCUAACUACGUGCCAGCCGCCGCGGUAA